GCGGGGAUAGCUCAGUUGUGAGAGCGUUAGACGGAAGAUCACGUGUUCGAUCCACGUUCACCGCA
rnacentral:tRNA from 1 species